ACCGACGAAGGUGUUCCGAUCUUAAAUUUUCUUUGUGGGUUUUGUAAAGGAGGUGAAGGAGAUUCUUUAUAUGGCGAUGGUAUUUCAAAAAAUUGUCUAUGGAGGUCAAGAUCUAGGAGAGAAAGUGGAAAUUAAGAUUUAAAACACAAAUCUGUGAAAGGGUGAAGAAAUAUAACAUAUUGGCCGUGAGAAGAAGAAGAGAUGUUGAUGAAGGAGAGCUUAUCAUAAUGAAGGAAGAUGUUGAAAAAAAAUAAAAAAAAUAAAAAAACAAAGAGGAAGGAAUUGAGCGGCUCAUGAAUGAAUGGAAGAGGAAGAGGAAGAGAAAAUGUAGGGUUUGAGAUAAUAAUAAUAAUAAUAUUAAUAAUAAUAUUAAUAAUAAUAAUUUGAGUUUGGGUCAUGAUUUAUGGGCUUUGGCUGCAAUAUGAUCUCUUCUCAU
rnacentral:lncRNA from 1 species